AGACCGUGAUAUGGACAUAUCCUCAUCAUGUCUUUGUAUCUUUCCCAUGCGUCGUGGAGAGAUUCUACAUCCUUUUGUCGAAAUCUGUUGAUUUGAGCUCUCAGCAU